rnacentral:rRNA from 1 species
AGCGAACGCUGGCGGCAGGCUUAACACAUGCAAGUCGAACGCAUCCUUCGGGGUGAGUGGCAGACGGGUGAGUAACACGUGGGAACGUACCCUUCGAUCUGGGAUAACUUCGGGAAACUGGAGCUAAUACCGGAUACGCCCUUUUGGGGAAAGGUUUACUGUCGAAGGAUCGGCCCGCGUCUGAUUAGCUAGUUGGUGGGGUAACGGCCUACCAAGGCGACGAUCAGUAGCUGGUCUGGGAGGAUGAUCAGCCACACUGGGACUGAGACACGGCCCAGACUCCUACGGGAGGCAGCAGUGGGGAAUAUUGGACAAUGGGCGCAAGCCUGAUCCAGCCAUGCCGCGUGAGUGAUGAAGGCCUUAGGGUUGUAAAGCUCUUUUGUCCGGGACGAUAAUGACGGUACCGGAAGAAUAAGCCCCGGCUAACUUCGUG